AGUGAACGCUGGCGGUAGGCCUAACACAUGCAAGUCGAACGGCAGCACAGUAAGAGCUUGCUCUUACGGGUGGCGAGUGGCGGACGGGUGAGGAAUACAUCGGAAUCUACUUUUUCGUGGGGGAUAACGUAGGGAAACUUACGCUAAUACCGCAUACGACCUACGGGUGAAAGCAGGGGAUCUUCGGACCUUGCGCGAUUGAAUGAGCCGAUGUCGGAUUAGCUAGUUGGCGGGGUAAAGGCCCACCAAGGCGACGAUCCGUAGCUGGUCUGAGAGGAUGAACAGCCAACACUGAAAUUGAGCACGGGUCAGGCCUCUAAGGGGAGCAGGAGGGGGGGAUAAUGGGCAAAGGGGGGAAGCCUGGACCAGCCAAUCCGGGGUGGGUAAAGAAGCCUUCGGGGUUGUAAACCCUUUUUGUGGGAAAAAAAAAGCGGCAGGUAAAAACCCCGUUGUUCGGAGGGUCCCAAAGAAAUAGGAACGGCUUACUUUGGG
rnacentral:rRNA from 1 species